CCUUUGACGUUAGCGGCGGACGGGUGAGUAACACGUGGGUAACCUACCUAUAAGACUGGGAUAACUUCGGGAAACCGGAGCUAAUACCGGAUAAUAUUUCGAACCGCAUGGUUCGAUAGUGAAAGGUGGUUUUGCUAUCACUUAUAGAUGGACCCGCGCCGUAUUAGCUAGUUGGUAAGGUAACGGCUUACCAAGUCUACGAUACGUAGCCGACCUGAGAGGGUGAUCGGCCACACUGGAACUGAGACACGGUCCAGACUCCUACGGGAGGCAGCAGGC
rnacentral:rRNA from 1 species